GAUGAACGCUGGCGGUAUGCUUAACACAUGCAAGUCGAACGGACUCUUCGGAGUUAGUGGCGGACGGGUGAGUAACGCGUGAGAAUCUGCCUACAGAUUGGGGACAACAUCGGGAAACUGAUGCUAAUACCGAAUAUGCCGAGAGGUGAAAGAUUUAUCGUCUGUAGAUGAGCUCGCGUCUGAUUAGCUAGUUGGGGCGGUAACGGCGCACCAAGGCGACGAUCAGUAACUGGUCUGAGAGGAUGACCAGUCACACUGGGACUGAGACACGGCCCAGACUCCUACGGGAGGCAGCAGUGGGGAAUUUUCCGCAAUGGGCGAAAGCCUGACGGAGCAAUACCGCGUGCGGGAGGACGCUUUUUGGAGUGUAAACCGCUUUUCUCAAGGAAGAUGAUGACGGUACUUUGAGGAAUCAGCAUCGGCUAACUUCGUGCCAGCGCCGCGGUAA
rnacentral:rRNA from 1 species